CUGUGAAACAAGAUACAGACUAGCGGCGGACGGAUGAGUAACACGUGGGUAACCUGCCCAAGAGAUCGGGAUAACACCUGGAAACAGAUGCUAAUACCGGAUAACAACAGAUGAUGCCUAUCAACUGUUUAAAAGAUGGUUCUGCUAUCACUCUUGGAUGGACCUGCGGUGCAUUAGCUAGUUGGUAGGGUAACGGCCUACCAAGGCGAUGAUGCAUAGCCGAGUUGAGAGACUGAUCGGCCACAUUGGGACUGAGACACGGCCCAAACUCCUACGGGAGGCAGCAGUAGGGAAUCUUCCACAAUGGACGCAAGUCUGAUGGAGCAACGCCGCGUGAGUGAAGAAGGGUUUCGGCUCGUAAAGCUCUGUUGUUGGUGAAGAAGGACAGGGGUAGUAACUGACCUUUGUUUGACGGU
rnacentral:rRNA from 1 species